GACGAACGCUGGCGGCGUGCUUAACACAUGCAAGUCGAACGGGCUCUGUCUGGCUGUGUGCUGGGUGGGGUUAGUGGCGAACGGGUGAGUAAUACGUGAGUAACCUGCCCUCUUCUUUGGGAUAAGCCUUGGAAACGGGGUCUAAUACUGGAUAUUCCUGUCUGGUCGCAUGGCUGGGUGGGGAAAGUUUUUUUCGGUGGGGGAUGGGCUCGCGGCCUAUCAGCUUGUUGGUGGGGUGAUGGCCUACCAAGGCGUCGACGGGUAGCCGGCCUGAGAGGGUGACCGGCCACACUGGGACUGAGAUACGGCCCAGACUCCUACGGGAGGCAGCAGUGGGGGAUAUUGCACAAUGGGCGCAAGCCUGAUGCAGCGACGCCGCGUGGGGGAUGACGGCUUUCGGGCUGUAAACCUCUUUCGUCGGGGGACAAGGCUCUGCUUGGUGGUGGGGUUGAGGGUACCCGGUGAAGAAGCGCCGGCUAACUACGUG
rnacentral:rRNA from 1 species